rnacentral:rRNA from 1 species
ACUCUGUGCACUAUUGGCGGACUGAGAGUAAGCAAUUGCUAUUCAGUCUGCGGCUCACUAUUAAACAUUAGUUAAAGUAUGUAAACAAAAACAAAACAAAAAAAACUUUCAACAACGGAUCUCUUGGCUCUCGCAUCGAUGAAGAACGCAGCGAAAUGUGAUAAGUAAUGUGAAUUGCAGAAUUCAGUGAAUCAUCGAAUCUUUGAACGCACCUUGCGCUCUCUGGUAUUCCGGAGAGCAUGUCUGUUUGAGUGUCAUGAACUCUUCAACCUACCGGUUUCUAGUAAAUCGGAUUAGUGUUUGGAUUCUGAACGCCUGCUGGCCUUUAUUGGCGAAGCUCGUUCGUAAAUGAUUAGCAUCUCAUAUUCGAAAAUCGGAUUGACUCAGUGUAAUAGACUAUUCGCUGAGGACGCUCUUUCGGGAGUGGCCGAGUUUUGUAAAGUAGAAGCUUCUAAUUCUAUUAGUCAACUUUAGAUUAGACCUCAGAUCAGGCAGGAUUACCCGCUGAACUUAAGCAUAUCAAUAAGCGGAGGAAAAGAAACUAACAAGGAUUCCCCUAGUAACGGCGAGUGAAGCGGGAAGAGCUCAAAUUUGUAAUCUGGCACUUUCAGUGUCCGAGUUGUAAUCUCGAGAAGUGUUUUCCGCGCCGGACCGCAUACAAGUCUGUUGGAAUACAGCGUCAUAGUGGUGAGA